AGUCCCCGAGGCUCUCUGCAGUCCGCGUGAGUCCUGGCCAAGGUCUGGCCUCGGAAGCUACGAGCUACAAUCUUCCUUCAUCCUACCCACCCACGAAGAGCGCCACCCCAGCUGCAGACCAAGUGACCAGCCCAGUUAGAAGGGGCUCGGCCGGAUCAAACCUCGGUGCUGCCUCAAAGCAUCUGCUGAAGCUCUUCCUCGACCAACUGAACUUCCUCACUGAGUGGUUCUUACUAGAAAAUUAUAAGCCCAGUCUGACAGUCUCUGAAAGAAUGUCAGUGUUUUACUGUAAAGCCAAAGAUGGGGGAAGAAGCAGUUUUGGGGGUUUCCUGAUCAGCUUUUAUUCAAGCCCUUAAAUCUGUGAAUAUGCGAUGUUAAUGCCACCUUACAUUUGUAUUAGAUUAGCAGUAUGCAACUGGCUUUCCAAACCGUGGUCCUACUGAUAGUAAUGUAGUUGUAAAACGUACAUAGGAUAAUUUGCCUCCUACACAGUGUGUAAAUAGCAAACAACAUCUCUUUACUUGGAUUUUUUAAAAUUCCAAUAAAUUCAAUUUAUUUUAAUGUAAACAAAAGUGAUAACACGCAAACUUCCUGCCUUUGACACAAUUCUAUUUGUAAUUGCACUUUGUAAUAUGAAAACUUGAAAACAUUUGGAGUAAAUGAUGGCAUAACAAUAUGGUGGAAUAUAAGCGAUUAAAAUUAAAAAUUGUGACUACAUAUACAGAAAUAUGGUGUACCAUUGAGUUUUACUUCCAGCUGGCGUUAGACUACAACUUAAUAUUGCUACUCUAAAAAAUCGUGGAUACAGAUCUAAAGUAAAUAAAAUUUGGUUAAGAGCUAGACAUAUAAGUAAGUUUUUAAAGUUUCGCAGUGUAUACUUAAAUAGUAUUGUGAUUGGUGACAGCUGUCAUGUGGAACUUUGAAGAUUUUUCAUGUAAUGCUGAUUCAAACGUGUAUGCCUAUGUGCAGGAUGUAUAAAUUGCCUAGUAGAUAUAUUAAAUUAAGAUUAAAUGCUUUUCAAGAGUGUGAAAUAAAAAGGGCAUACAUACAAGUAGAGAAUGAUUGGGACUUUUUUUUUUUUUUUUUUGAGACAGAGUCUCGCUCUGUGGCCAGGCUGGAGUGCAGAGGCAUGAUCUCGGCUCACUACAACCUCCGAUUCCCUGGUUCAAGCGAUUCUCCUGCUUCAGCCUGCUCCUGAGUAGCUGGGAUUACAGGCACGCACCACCACGCCUAGCUAUUUUGUGUGUGUGGGCGUGUUUUGUUUUGUUUUUGUUUUUGUUUUGAGAUGGAGUCUCACUCUGUCGCCAGGCUAGAGUGCAGUGACCCUCUUUUUUUUUUUUUUUUUGGCUCACUGCAACUUCCGCCUCCCAGGUUCAAGCGAUUCUCCUGCCUCAGCCUCCCGAGUAGCUGGGACUAUAGACGCGCGCUACCACACCCAGCUAAUUUUUGUAUUUUUAGUAGAGACAGGGUUUCACCAUGUUGGCCAGGAUGGUCUCGAUCUCUUGACCUCGUGAUCCGCCUGCCCCGGCCUUCCAAAGUGCUAGGAUUACAGGCGUGAGCCACCGCUCCCAGCAUAUUUUUGUGUUUUUAAUAGAGACAGGGUUUCACCAUGUUGGUCAGGCUGGUCUCAAACUCCUGACCUCGUGAUCCGCCCACCUCAGCCUCCCAAAGUGCUGAGAUAACAGGCAUGAGCCACUGCGCCCAGCCCUUAAUUUACAUUUUCUAAGUACUGACAGUUUUGGUAAAGUAGUAAACUAGAAGAGCUCCUUCAGGGCAGGGGACCAUGUCUUAGAUAUCUUUAUACUUCACAACAUGCUAA
rnacentral:lncRNA from 10 species